UGAUCAAAUAAAGAAAGUAAAAAAUGGAUGAAGAUGGUCGGGUCAUGCAGGUGGACCGUUCACCCAUUUGAAGGUGGGCCUCUCAAUCACAGCCCUUCCAAUCCACAUGAAUAGAGAUAUACCGUGAUUGAUGCUCCUGUGCUUGGUGCACAGAUAUGUGCUAUGAUUUGGCUGGCUGAUUGUAGCUGUACACGAUUGGCUCAAAUUCUUUAAUACUGAGCAGUGCUCGAGUCCGAUUCCCAGAUUUUCAGACAGGGUCCACAUGUACUUUCCAGCCAUAUCUCUAAACGCCCAACUAAUCCAUGGUCCCACGUAUGACAGAUUGGGUCGCACACUAUAUUAACUACUACAUUUAAAAUGCCGGAUGAGCUUUCUCUCCAUAGGGGUGUGUGGUCCACAAAUUCCCAAUCAAAUUGACCUGGAUGGUUGGACUAUUAAAACUUUGAAUUAAAAACAAUACUGAGUGUCAUAGCCCUAUCAUCUUCUUUCUACUUUUCUGUUUGCUAUUUUACCUUUUUAUUAUGGAAUUUUACUAAAUUAAAAUAUCUUUCUAGCUAUGCAAAUAUAUUGACAACACAGAAGAUUGCAUUAAUAUUCAAGUAAUUGUUUGUACAUGAAGAAUUCUCUCUUUUACAAUACACGUGGUUUUAUUUGGAUGGAAAUAGAUUGUUACUGCUGUUUUUUUUUUCCUUAAAAAAAUAAUUAAAUAAAGCCAUGUUAGUCAUGGUUUUUUUCCCCUCUGCCGCAGCUCGACAAUCAUCGAAAUCAACUGAUUCAGGUGAGAUUCUACAAGGACAUUGGUAAUGAACUCCCCAUGCAUUAGAUUCUUUUCUUCAGUGUGAUAUCCAAGUUCUUGCAUUUUACUGCUGACAGUAGUUGUUUAAAUUGCAAUGCACAAUUUGGGGAUAUAUUUAUCUUUUCUUCUAUUCCAUUGCAGUUAGAGAUGUUCAUUAGCUCAGGAACUGUUUGCCUCCCUAUUUAUUCAUUGGUUGCUGGGAUCUUUGGUGUGAAUCUCCCAUAUACAUGGAAUCUAAACCAUGGAUAUCUAUUUAAAUGGGAAUUGACUCUGCUUCCCAACUGCUACAUUGAGGAUAAGAUGUGGCUGCUGAAAUUCUACAUCAAGGUUGGCAUGUCUAUUUGUGUAGAGAUGACUAUGGAGGGGAUUGCAAACCUCUAAGGCCUUGUGCCUGGGUAAUUGAUUAUGGAGUUCAUAAGCUUUGGAAAUACAAUAAUGUUGGGGUAUUUCAUCUAUUACCUACCUUGUCAAUUCCAUGUUGAAUUGCCUCAUUGAGCUGCUUGUGAAAACUAUGUGGUCCUCUUCUUAGUAGACCUUUUUUUUUUUCAAAAGGAGGGGUCUCGCCCCUGUAUUUGACAAUAUGAACAGGGGAUGUACAAUCCACACACAUUCAGGUGGGCACCACAAAAAUGCCGGGCUUCACAAUCAGGUGUUCCUGCAACUUCGUUUAAAGCAAGCUGUUUCAUAUUUCUGGUGUGACCCUAUUUAAAUCAAGGGCAGGCAUCCCCUCUCACAUUGUUCCCUUGUUGUGGCCCACUUGACUGUUGGAUCAGGCAGAUUUAGAAAUGAUGGUGCCGGUAUUGGGUUUGCCGGCCGCAUAGCUAUACAGUCACUCUGUGCUCCACAAUGCUGUUUCUCUGACUUGGACAGGGAUUUGCUUUCCUUUAUCAGAUCUCUCAAGGGUAUGAUACAAUCUACCAAUGCAGUUGCGAUGAUUACUUUCCCUCCAUCUGUUCUGUCACCUUCCUUCUCUAAGAGAUGGCAGCAUUUGGCGGAUACUCUGCUCUCUGUCAGGGCGAUCCCAGAUGAGGACAAAGAGAUGGCGAAACUCCUCACAGGUUAUCAGGACAUGGUUGGCCUUCUGCAUGUCCAUAAAGUGGCUCAGAUUAAU